UUAAGUGACUAAGCGUACACGGUGAAUGCCUGGGCAGUCAGAGGCGAUGAAGGACGUACUAACUUGCGAUAAGCGCAGAUAAGGCAGUAAGAGCCGUUUGAGUCUGCGAUUUCCGAAUGGGGAAACCCAACUGCAUAAGCAGUUACUGUUAACUGAAUACAUAGGUUAACAGAGCAAACCGGGGGAACUGAAACAUCUAAGUACCCCGAGGAGAAGAAAUCAACCGAGAUUCCGGUAGUAGCGGCGAGCGAACCUGGAUUAGCCCUUAAGCACUCGGUGAAGUAGGUGAACAAGCUGGAAAGCUUGGCGAUACAGGGUGAUAGCCCCGUAACCGACGCUUCAUCGAGCGUGAAAUCGAGUAGGGCGGGACACGUGAUAUCCUGUCUGAAUAUGGGGGGACCAUCCUCCAAGGCUAAAUACUCCUGACUGACCGAUAGUGAACCAGUACCGUGAGGGAAAGGCGAAAAGAACCCCUGUGAGGGGAGUGAAAUAGAACCUGAAACCGUGUACGUACAAGCAGUAGGAGCACCUUCGUGGUGUGACUGCGUACCUUUUGUAUAAUGGGUCAGCGACUUAUAUUCAGUGGCAAGGUUAACCGUAUAGGGGAGCCGUAGCGAAAGCG
rnacentral:rRNA from 2 species